GGAUGUGAGGACGAUCUGGCUGUGACAUCUGUCACCCCAUUGAUUGCCAGGGUUGAUUUGGCUGAUCUGGCUGGCUAGGCAGGUAUCCCCUUCCUCCUCCACCACUCCAUGUGUGUCCCUCCCGAAGCUGCAAGCUCAGCUGAAGAGGAUGACCAUCCCCUAUAGAGGAGGACUGGUCUUUGGUCAAGGGUAUUCGAGUAGCUAUGCUCCCCUGCUAGAACCUCCAACAUGCUCUCAAGGUCCAUUAGAUUUAAUGAAAGCCAUAGGCCAGACCAUGAAUAGUGUGGGGUUUUAGAUACACAAGAGUGGAUAUGCAGAAAUGUGGUAUUGCUGAUGAUGUGGAUGUGUCAAAUGAGGACCUUUAGUUUUCCUAUGUUU
ensembl:misc_RNA 7SK 7SK RNA